rnacentral:rRNA from 1 species
GACAGAGGGUGCAAGCGUUGUUCGGAAUCAUUGGGCGUAAAGGGCGCGUAGGCGGUUUUGCAAGUCGAAUGUGAAAGCCCAGGGCUCAACCUUGGAAGUGCAUCCGAAACUGCGAAACUUGAAUCCUGGAGAGGGUGGUGGAAUUCCCGAGUGUGAGAGGUGAAAUUCGUAGAUAUUCGCAAGAACACCGGUGGCGAAGGCGGCCAACUGGACCGCACUGACGCUGAGGCGCGAAAGCGUGGGGAGCGAACAGG